GAUGAAGAACGUAGCAAAAUGCGAUAAGUAAUGUGAAUUGCAGAAUUCAGUGAAUCAUCGAAUCUUUGAACGCACAUUGCGCCCGCUGGUAUUCCGGCGGGCAUGCCUGUUCGAGCGUCAUUUCAACCCUCAAGCCCCCGGGUUUGGUGUUGGGGAUCGGCUCUGCCUUCUGGCGGUGCCGCCCCCGAAAUACAUUGGCGGUCUCGCUGCAGCCUCCAUUGCGUAGUAGCUAACACCUCGCAACUGGAACGCGGCGCGGCCAUGCCGUAAAACCCCAACUUCUGAAUGUUGACCUCGGAUCAGGUAGGAAUACCCGCUGAACUUAAGCAUAUCAAUAACGGAGGA
rnacentral:misc_RNA from 1 species